rnacentral:rRNA from 1 species
AAAUUGAAGAGUUUGAUCAUGGCUCAGAUUGAACGCUGGCGGCAGGCCUAACACAUGCAAGUCGAACGGUAACAGGAAGCAGCUUGCUGCUUGGCUGACGAGUGGCGGACGGGUGAGUAAUGUCUGGGAAACUGCCCGAUGGAGGGGGAUAACUACUGGAAACGGUAGCUAAUACCGCAUAAUGUCGCAAGACCAAAGUGGGGGACCUUCGGGCCUCACACCAUCGGAUGUGCCCAGAUGGGAUUAGCUUGUUGGUGGGGUAACGGCUCACCAAGGCGACGAUCCCUAGCUGGUCUGAGAGGAUGACCAGCCACACUGGAACUGAGACACGGUCCAGACUCCUACGGGAGGCAGCAGUGGGGAAUAUUGCACAAUGGGCGCAAGCCUGAUGCAGCCAUGCCGCGUGUAUGAAGAAGGCCUUCGGGUUGUAAAGUACUUUCAGCGGGGAGGAAGGUGUUGUGGUUAAUAACCACAGCAAUUGACGUUACCCGCAGAAGAAGCACCGGCUAACUCCGUGCCAGCAGCCGCGGUAAUACGGAGGGUGCAAGCGUUAAUCGGAAUUACUGGGCGUAAAGCGCACGCAGGCGGUCUGUCAAGUCGGAUGUGAAAUCCCCGGGCUCAACCUGGGAACUGCAUUCGAAACUGGCAGGCUUGAGUCUUGUAGAGGGGGGUAGAAUUCCAGGUGUAGCGGUGAAAUGCGUAGAGAUCUGGAGGAAUACCGGUGGCGAAGGCGGCCCCCUGGACAAAGACUGACGCUCAGGUGCGAAAGCGUGGGGAGCAAACAGGAUUAGAUACCCUGGUAGUCCACGCCGUAAACGAUGUCUACUUGGAGGUUGUGCCCUUGAGGCGUGGCUUCCGGAGCUAACGCGUUAAGUAGACCGCCUGGGGAGUACGGCCGCAAGGUUAAAACUCAAAUGAAUUGACGGGGGCCCGCACAAGCGGUGGAGCAUGUGGUUUAAUUCGAUGCAACGCGAAGAACCUUACCUGGUCUUGACAUCCAC